rnacentral:lncRNA from 1 species
CCUUCCUAAUAUCAUUGUCAUCCCAAUCUUUUUUAAGUUUGGGUAUAGUAACACCCUCUACAAAAAUUGAUGGGAUGUAUGGUCCAUUAAGUAUGGUGGUCCAAAUCUCAUAGUCUUGAGCUUGGAUAAAUAUCCUCAUCCUAGCGUUCCAAUAGGAGUAGUCAGUUCCAUUGAAGAAUGGAGGUCUAUGGGUGGACUGCCCCUCAAUGUGAGAAGAUCCAAAUGGGGUUGUCAUUUUGAUCUUUUACUCUUUUGGUAGAAGAGUUCCUGCUCUGAUACCACUUGUUGCCCAAGAAGACAACCCAAGAGGGGGGGUGAAUUGGGUUUUAAGUAAUAAUUGCAAAUUAAAACUUAAUGAGUAACUAAUUAAACCUUAUUGCAAGUGGAUUAAUUAGUUUACUAUAUGCAGUGGA